CCUACGGGUGGCAGCAGUGGGGAAUAUUGCGCAAUGGGGGCAACCCUGACGCAGCAACGCCGCGUGAUUGAAGAAGGCCUUCGGGUUGUAAAGAUCUUUAAUCGGGGCCGAAUUUUGACGGUACCCGAAGAAUAAGCUCCGGCUAACUACGUGCCAGCAGCCGCGGUAAUACGUAGGGAGCAAGCGUUAUCCGGAUUUACUGGGUGUAAAGGGCGCGUAGGCGGGCAUGAAAGCCAGGAGUGAAAUCUGGGGGCUCAACCCGCGAACUGCAUUUGGAACUGCGUGUCUUGAGUGAUGGAGAGGCAAACGGAAGUCCCGGUGUAGCGGUGAAAUGCGUAGAUAUUGGGAGGAACACCAGUGGCGAAGGCGGCCUGCUGGGCAUUAACUGACGCUGAGGCGCGAAAGCGUGGGGAGCAAACGGGAUUAGAUACCCGUGUAGUC
rnacentral:rRNA from 1 species